rnacentral:rRNA from 1 species
GACGAACGCUGGCGGCGUGCUUAACACAUGCAAGUCGAACGGAAAGGCCCUGCUUUUGUGGGGUGCUCGAGUGGCGAACGGGUGAGUAACACGUGAGUAACCUGCCCUUGACUUUGGGAUAACUUCAGGAAACUGGGGCUAAUACCGGAUAGGAGCUCCUGCUGCAUGGUGGGGGUUGGAAAGUUUCGGCGGUUGGGGAUGGACUCGCGGCUUAUCAGCUUGUUGGUGGGGUAGUGGCUUACCAAGGCUUUGACGGGUAGCCGGCCUGUGAGGGUGACCGGCGACAAUGGGACUGAGAUACGGCACAGAAUACUACGGGAGGCAGCAGUGGGGAAUAUUGCACAAUGGGCGGAAGCCUGAUGCAGAAACGCCGCGUGCGGGAUGACGGCCUUCGGGUUGUAAACAGAUUUCGCAUGUGACGAAGAGUGAGUGACGGUAAUGGGUAAAGAAGCACCGGCUAACUACGUG